UACGUAGGCAGCAAGCGUUGUUCGGAGUUACUGGGCGUAAAGGGUGCGUAGGCGGUUGUUUAAGUUUGGUGUGAAAUCUCCCGGCUCAACUGGGAGGGUGCGCCGAAUACUGAAUGACUAGAGUGCGGGAGAGGAGAGUGGAAUUCCUGGUGUAGCGGUGAAAUGCGUAGAUAUCAGGAGGAACACCGGUGGUGUAGACGGCCCUCUGGACCGUAACUGACGCUGAGGCACGAAAGCGUGGGUAGCAAACAGG
rnacentral:rRNA from 1 species